rnacentral:lncRNA from 10 species
AUUAUCAAACCUAAGAAAUUAAAAUUGAUACAGCAAAUAUUAUCUAGUAUACAGCUGAUUAUGGUUUGGAUUUGUGUCCCCGCCCAUAUCUGAUGUUGAAUUGUAAUUUCCAGGAGCUGGGGCCUGGCAGGAGGUGACUGGAUCAUGGGGGCGCGUUUCCUCUGAGUACUGUUCUGGUGAUAGUGAGUGAGCUGUCGUCAUGAGAUCUGGUCGUGUAAAGAAUAGAGCACUUUUGUCGGCAUUAAAAACUGA